UACCAUUUUCCCAAACAUACAAUUACACAAUCAUUCCCAAAUGUCAAACCCAACUCACAUCUCUCACCAAAAGAUCCUAAGAACAUUAACUCCUUCUCUUUGAAAUCUACAAGGGAUUUUCCACAACCUCAAAACAUUACUUAGCUCCUAACAACUUUGCUAGCCCCCUUUUUCUUUCUUUUUCUUUUCUUUUUAUAUAUAUAUAUAUA
rnacentral:lncRNA from 1 species